CCUACGGGGGGCAGCUGUGAGGAAUAUUGGUCAAUGGACGAGAGUCUGAACCAGCCAAGUAGCGUGAAGGAUGACUGCCCUAUGGGUUGUAAACUUCUUUUAUAUGGGAAUAAAACGUUCCACGUGUGGGAUUUUGUAUGUACCAUAUGAAUAAGGAUCGGCUAACUCCGUGCCAGCAGCCGCGGUAAUACGGAGGAUCCGAGCGUUAUCCGGAUUUAUUGGGUUUAAAGGGAGCGUAGGUGGAUUGUUAAGUCAGUUGUGAAAGUUUGCGGCUCAACCGUAAAAUUGCAGUUGAAACUGGCAGUCUUGAGUACAGUAGAGGUGGGCGGAAUUCGUGGUGUAGCGGUGAAAUGCUUAGAUAUCACGAAGAACUCCGAUUGCGAAGGCAGUUCACUGGACUGCAACUGACACUGAGGCUCGAAAGUGUGGGUAUCAAACAGGAUUAGAUACCCGAGUAGUC
rnacentral:rRNA from 1 species